GCAAGAGUGGCGUGGUGGUCUGAUUGUCGGACUACAACUCUGGAGACCAGAGUUCAAUUCCCAGUUCUUCCA